rnacentral:misc_RNA from 1 species
AACGCACAUUGCGCCCGCCGGCAUUCCGGCGGGCAUGCCUGUUCGAGCGUCAUUUCAACCCCUCAGGCCCCCGGGCCUGGCGUCGGGGCACCCCCGCGAGGGGGGCCCCCAGAGCCAUCGGCGGACCCGCCGCGGCUCCGAGCGCAGUAGACUACCUCUCGCUCCGGAGCCCCGCGGCGCGGACCCGGCCGCUAAACCCCCAACGUACCCAAGGUUGACCUCGGAUCAGGUAGGAAUACCCGCUGAACUUAA